UACGUAGGGAGCAAGCGUUGUCCGGAAUCAUUGGGCGUAAAGCGCGCGUAGGUGGCUUCGUAAGUCCGUUGUGAAAGUCAAAGGCUCAACCUUUGAACUGCCGAUGGAUACUGCGAAGCUAGAGUACGGAAGAGGCGAGUGGAAUUCCGAUGGUGUAGCGGUGGAAUGGCGCCAGAUAUCAGGAGAACAACCAAUAGCGAAGGCAGGCUCGCUGGGACGUUGACUAACA
rnacentral:rRNA from 1 species